rnacentral:rRNA from 1 species
GACGUAGGUGGCGAACGUUAUCCGGAAUUAUUGGGCGUAAAGGGUGCGUAGGUGGCCUGACAAGUUAUCAGUGGCAAAUCGAGGCUCAACCUCGUGGAAACUGGUAAUACUGUUCGGCUUGAGUACAGGAGAGGUUAACGGAACUCUAUGUGGAGCGGUAAAAUGCACAGAUAUGUGGAAGAACAUCAAUAAAGGCGAAGGCAGUUAACUAUUCUGUUACUGACGCUGAGGCACGAAAGCGUGGGGAGCAAACAGG